GACGAACGCUGGCGGCGUGCUUAACACAUGCAAGUCGAACGGUAAGGCCCUUCGGGGUACACGAGUGGCGAACGGGCGAGUAACACGCGGGUCAUCUGCCCUGCACUUCGGGAGAAGCCUGGGAAACUGGGUCUAAUACCGGAUAGGACCACUGCCUGCAUGGGUGGUGGUGGCAAGCUUUUGCGGUGUGGGAUGUGCCCGCGGCCUAUCAGCUUGUUGGUGGGGUGAUGGCCUACAAAGGCGACGACGGGUAGCCGGCCUGAGAGGGUGACCGGCCACACUGGGACUGAGAUACGGCCCAGACUCCUACGGGAGGCAGCAGUGGGGAAUAUUGCACAAUGGGCGCAAGCCUUAUGCAGCGACGCCGCGUGAGGGAUGACGGCCUUCGGGUUGUAAACCUCUUUCAGCACCGACGAAGCGCAAGUGACGGUAGGUGCAGAAGAAGGACCGGCCAACUACGUGCCAGCAGCCGCGGAGA
rnacentral:rRNA from 1 species